rnacentral:rRNA from 1 species
UACGAAGGGGGCUAGCGUUGUUCGGAUUUACUGGGCGUAAAGCGCACGUAGGCGGAUCGUUAAGUCGGGGGUGAAAUCCUGGAGCUCCAACUCCAGAACUGCCUUCGAUACUGGCGAUCUUGAGUCCGGAAGAGGUGAGUGGAACUCCUAGUGUAGAGGUGGAAUUCGUAGAUAUUAGGAAGAACACCAGUGGCGAAGGCGGCUCACUGGUCCGGUACUGACGCUGAGGUGCGAAAGCGUGGGAGCAACAGGG